rnacentral:rRNA from 1 species
UAACGNGUGAGGAACCUGCCUUUNNNAGGGGGACAACAGUUGGAAACGACUGCUAAUACCGCAUGACGCAUUUUGAUCGCAUGGUCGAAAUGCCNAANAUUUAUCGCUGAAAGAUGGCCUCGCGUCUGAUUAGCUAGUUGGUGAGGUAACGGCCCACCAAGGCGACGAUCANUAGCCGGACUGAGAGGUUGACCGGCCACAUUGGGACUGANAUACGGCCCAGACUCCUACGGGAGGCAGCAGUGGGGAAUAUUGGGCAAUGGGCGCAAGCCUGACCCAGCAACGCCGCGUGAAGGAAGAAGGCUUUCGGGUUGUAAACUUCUUUUAAGUNNGAAGAGUAGAAGACGGUACCACUUGAAUAAGCCACGGCUAAAUACNUGCCANCAGCCGCGGUAAUACGUAUGGUGCANGNGUUAUCCGGAUUUNCUGGGUGUAAAGGGAGCGUANACGGCUGUGUAAGUCUGAAGUGAAAGCCCGGGGNUCAACCCCGGNACUGCUUUGGAAACUAUGCAGCUAGAGUGUCGGAGAGGUAGUGGAAUUUCCCAGUGUAGCGGUGAAAUGCGUAAAUAUUGNNAGGAACACCAGUGGNCAUNGCGGCUUACUGGACGAUGACUGACGUUGAGGCUCGAAAGCGUGAGGGAGCAACAGGAUUAGAUAUCCUGGUA